ensembl:snoRNA SNORA71 Small nucleolar RNA SNORA71
CCCUGUAUCGAAAGUGACCGUGGCGUCCUGUGGCCACGGUCAUUGAUAGUACAGGAAGAUAAAACUGCGAGCCUUUCCCGUGUCUGAAGGAUGAUUGUUCCUCUCAGACCCUGGCGCUCUCACACA